UUGCGAUAACGAACGAGACUCUGUCCUGCUAAAUAGUCCCGUCGUCUCCUUUGCGACGGGAAUUCUUCUUAGAGGGACUGGCGGCAUCUAGUCGCACGAGAUUGAGCAAU
rnacentral:rRNA from 1 species